AAAUGUUAAAAAUAUACUCUAAAGAGAAACUAAGCAUAAUUUGAUUAAUUUCGGUGGAGCAGGUACGAAGUUAGACAACUUUGUAAAUUACGCAAUAACUACCGACUCGCCCUUAAUUAUUGUUAUCUAGUGCAAAUAAAUGGAUGCAUUUAAUUGUUUGACUGGCUAGAAAAACUGAAAAAUCUCCAUUUUGAGAUUUUCUCUAUGAAACUGAACAUUAAAAACAAGAGCAGUACAAUGUUUGUCGUGAGCGCUUGUAAAAAUAAAUAUUGUAUGCUUUCGCGGAUCCACACUGAACAUCUAGGAAAAGCAUUGUCAAAAUAAAAACGACACUAAUAAGAUCUUGCCCUGUGACCUAUCUUGCCCGUGACCCUUAUAUCUUCGGAAAAGCCUAUCAUGAUCAUGAUUAUAGGGAGAAACUCAAUGCAAGAUGGUUCUCCGAAAGGUUUGUGAUUUUUUUAUCAUCUUAUUCUUUGUAAACGACAACCGCUGCUCAAAGGAAUUGAAACUUAUUUACAGUUUAUGUAUACGAAAUGCAACCAUGCCAUUUGAUCCAUUGGAAAAACUUACAGGAUAAUUAGAACCACUCCUCGUACCCAAUUAGCUAACCAACACAGCAUAAGUGGUAAUGCUCUUCGGCUAUUCGGCUGAGCCAUCAGCGCGAAGCAUUUUUCGUCCACAGGUGCUGGCGCAUGGAUGAAUUAUUGGAAGGUCCAAUUCAUUGUAGCUUCUCAAACUUCACAUUUGGCCUCACAAGUACUAUGUAAUAUUUAGUAUUUUUAAUAUUGCAGAAUACUACAUUUUGUCAUUCAUCUAUAUCAAUGUUUUUGCCAAAAUUUUCAAGUCUGGAAAAUUUAAACUAAUUUGGACAUGGUACCUAUAAGCACACAUAGAAAUAAACAGACGUAACAGUAGAGCAAUUUCCAUCGACCACGUCUUUAACAAUUGUUUUGUAUUUAUUUGGUUGGCAAUCUCACAUCCAGAAGCAUAAACUAGAUAAGAGUGGAAAAUGGGAUAAGGUUCAAGAUAGGUCAUUGGUCAAAAUUCUCAAAAGUGUAAUAUAUCGAUGCAACCUAGCAUAAGACCUUCACAUUCAACAUUCUGCGCUCUGCCAUCAAAAAGACCAAAAAUCACGAACGGAACUGUUUUCCUCCUCUUAACUGCGCACAAAGACUGGACAGUGACCUCGAAGACCAGAUUCCGCGAGAAGAUCGAAACGACCUAACAAUCUGCGCUGUUUUCAAAACGACCAAGCAUUACCAAAGGAAUUGUCCUUCUCCUCUUUGAUACACACAAACACUGGACAGUGGAAUCUAAUAUCCUUAUCCCGAUAAAGAACAACCUAUGUGGGUAAAAAAGAAAGGGAAUUCCCUUUCCAGAAAAAUACCAAAUCUAGCGAAGAAAAAGUUAGAAUUCUUAUAAAUUAACCAACUUACCCUUGAAAGUUGAACAGACGCUAAUCAAACUGCGCCUCGCCGGAAAAUGACGACUUGGCUGGUACUCGAGCUGGCGACUGCUCUGAUGCAUCGCAUUCCCGUUCUCGUUCACUUGUCCCGCACUGCUCGGCACAGAUUCCUAUACGAGAACGCUCCCGCUGCCGCUCGGCUCGAAUCUCAUCGCGCUCUCGCAGAUCGUCAGAGACGAUGCCCGAGUCUUUUCUAGCUUCGCUUCCACCAGCCAUUUACCCCGGGUGAUUGAUUCCAGCGGUGAGCCAUCUGCCGCAGCAUGUUCUCCUUCUGGGCCAGGUUCUUUUUCAGCUGAGUACCGACUCCGUCCGCUUUCACCGGAUCUUUCGACAAUAUAUAGCGCUUCGGUCAUUUGGCAAUUUUGGAUAACUCGUAGCUUAUCCCCGGAAUUGCACAAAAAGAACAGAAAAACCAAGAAAAACACUUAACACUUCGGGGACGCAAAAACUCUGCACUCAGGCAAAUAAACCUAAGAUUAUCAUAAGGUCUAAGUUAUGAAAUUGUAUUUAAACAAUUCAUAACGGCUAGAAUGCAUUUCAUAAGGUCGGUUUAUGACGCAGAAUCGACUCACAGUUUGGCUUUUAUACACAUUUUGCACCACGAUAUUCUCAAGCGUCGAUAGCCGCGUGGGUUGGGCACGAGCUCAGUGAUCUCGGCGUUCAUGGAUCGAUUCCAGUCUGCAUCAUUUUACGAUUUUUCUGCUCUUUUCAUAAGUUUAUCUUAUGUAAGUAGGUCAUAAUACGCAUGUUCAAUUUUCAUAAGGUAUUCUUAUGGCAUCCAUACUUUACAGUUAUGGCUAAAUUUCAUAAGGUAUUUUGAUGAAUUUCGGUAGUUUACUUCGCUGAGUGUGUGCACAACCAACGUAUCUAAAUACGGUAUUUACCUAGAUACUUUGGUGCAGAGAAAAUAGGUAGAGAAGCGAAGAGUGAACAGCCGUCUGAACGGCAACACUUUUUCUGUUUUGAUUUCGUAACUCGGAUGUUGGCAACUACCGAAAAACAGAUUAAUCCAUCUAUCGAGGGUAAUGUCUUUCUCGUGUACUGCAUUAGAAAAUGAUUUAUGCUGUUGAUUUAUUAUUGUCUAUCCGGUUGGAAUCAAGACCGACAUUCAAUCAAAAAUUGCCAUUUUCUUGGUCCACAAGUGUCGCAACUGUUUCGCAUCUAGUGCGCUGUGUUGCUGACAACAACGGGAAGAAUGCGCACUACUUUUGACAUGAUUAAAAAACGUCGCGAGUUGGAUCGCGUCGCGACUUGAUUGUGCGAAGUCCGGUUUGGUGGCGGCCCGACAAUAACAAGAAAUCAUCUAAAUUGUAUACCAAAAAGGAUCAAUUUUCGUCAAUUUAAGGAAUCAAUGAACUAUUUCGGUAGCUUCGGUAAUCGAUUUUACUGAGGCUCAGUACACCAACUGUCAAAACCGUGUGCAAAAGGUAAACAAUGCAGUAUAGCUGUAUUCAGCUGUUCUAUUUUCGUCAAAAAAUUACCGAAUACGGUAUUCCAAAUUAAGUGUGUAAAAAUAUUGGUAAAAAAAUAUUUCGAAUGAUCGCAAUACUUAUCAUGAAUUAUGCGGCAAUCGUCAAGGUUUGUUGAUUUUGUUCGAUAGGAUACCAUAAAGAUACUAUAAGGAACAUUUCGUGUCUUUGCAUAUAGUGUCUUUAGGAUACCAGUUUGACGGUUCGAUAAGGUUUUUUUGGCUUCACACUCUUCGCUUCUCUACCUAUUUUCUCUGCUUUGGUGCACAACAAGGAAAAGAAAAUGAGCCAUUUUACGAGACGUUUCGGAUCAGCUGAUCGCUCAUUUCAUGAAUGAAAAUUUGACAUAAGGUUGCGCCCAAGCCCGCGAGUGUUAAUAUCAAUAUUAACACUGUUGUCGUUUCGUAAAAUAGACUAUGGCGCGACAGAUGAAUGACGUUUCAUGCUCGUGUCGAUUACACGCUUAGCAUUUUUAGCUCAAAAACGUGUAAUGGUUACACUAAAUCUCACACGAAAAAAAAAUUAACCCACAAGCUACCUACCGUGUCAUGCCCUAAUACCGUGUGCCUCCUAAUACCGUGUAUUUGACAAAAAACUCAAAUAUUUUACUAAGUGUAUUACUUUUUUAACUGAGUAACUAGUUCAAUCAUUAGCAUAUCAAACCUUCUCAAGUUAGGCGUGAUAAAUUUGGCACAUAUUUACAAAAACAAGCAAUUAAAAAUAUUUACACAAUGUGAGUGCAAAGUAACAAUACGCGGUAUUAGGGUAUGGUUCCUUUAGUGUUCCAAAUACCGUGUUUCGGCUAAAACUUGCAAACUGAAAAUAUCAUUGAUACUUUUUACUUUAUGAAUCAAUUGCACAAACCUCUAGGCAACGUUUGACGCAUAGGUUCUUAUAAGUAUGAACUUAGUAUGAUUGAUAUGGUGAUGAUUCAAAGGACCACCAAUGUAUGCGGGUCACAUACACGGUAUUAGGAACAAUGCUAUGUUUUACAAUUUUGAUUUUAACUAUGGAUUAAACAUUUGGAAUUUCAUUAAUCAUAUUUAUUAUACACAAUAGACACAAUAAGCAAUAAUCCUCUCUCCUCUCUCCUCUUCUUGGCAUAACGUCCUCACUGGGACAAAGCCUGCCUCUCAGGUUAGUGUUCUAUGAGCACUUCCACAGUUAUUAACUGAGAGCUUCCUCUGCCAAUGACCAUUUUGCAUGUGUAUAUCGUGUGGCAGGCACGAAGAUACUCUAUGCCCAAGGAAGUCAAGGAAAUUUCCAUUACGAAAAGAUCCUGGACCGACCGGGAAUCGAACCCGUCACCCUCAGCAUGGUCAUGCUGAAUACCCGUGCGUUUACCGCCUCGGCUAUAUGGGCCCCUAAUAAGCAAUAAUAUAGCGUUUGAAAAAUCAAGAAACUUAGAUUAUUGAUUUUUACAGGGCUCUUCGAAGUGAAGAGCAUCCUUAAGGUCACGGUAUUAGGGCAUGGCACGGUACACGAAUAAAAAACAGAUUACCCAAAAAAUACGACAAAAGAACGCAAAAAUAACAUCACCAUGAUGUUGCAUGAAGAAGAAGAACGAUGGUGUUUUGAAAAAAUCCUAUCCCAAUAACACAGGGGAAGUUUUUAAAAUGCUUCUAUAAAGUCUAAAACAAAAUCCAAUUAAAAACUGUGCGAUGUACGGUGUUAGGGUGUUAGCCUCAUCUGUAUAGGUGUGGAUAUUCAGCAUAACCAUGCUGAAAGUGACGGAUUCGAUUCCCGGUCGUUCCAGGAACUUUUUGUAAUGAAAAUUCCCUUCAAUAGGGUCCUAAAUUUAAAGACGAAAUCUCGCUUAUAUUGAAUAAUACGAUCAAGCAUGGUAUUCUAAUCGGAAUUGUACUUUACUCGAACUUGAAAAACAAAGGAAUAAUGAGAAAAUUCGAAAUAAGAAAAAUGGUAAAUAGUUCUACUUUGACAUUUGAGGUCAACCUUGUGUGACUGAGCUCGACAUUUUUCGCACUGGGAUUUCAAAAAUGUUUCCAUCUGACAUACACGGUGAAAAAAAUCAAUCAAAGUAUGUGUUAUAAGCUAGGGACGAGACAAAAGGCUAAAAAAAUAAAAAUUAUAUAUUUUCAACUGAGUGUCGCGGACUGACUCAAUAUGCAACUCAAUAUUGUCGUCGCGGUUGAAACCCGAAGAUUCCCCACACCCGACAAUCGAACUUUCUCAAAAUCCAUGCGUGAAACCUAACGUCGGACGUAGUGCGCUGGACAGCGGACCUGGCCCUUUAUCCAGCGCACUAUGCCCGACGUACGUCCGACACACGGUUUGGCAGAAAAAUCGAUUUUCGCGUGUCGAAAAUUCCGAUUUUCAACUGCACGAACAAUAUUGUCGUCGCGGUUGAAACCCGAAGAUUCCCCACACCCGACAAUCGAAUUUUCUCAAAAUCCAUACGUGAAACCUAACGUCGGAUGUAGUGCGCUGGACAGCGGACCUGGCCAUCUAUCCAGCGCACUGUGCCCGACGUGCGUCCGACACACGGUUGAGGAGAAAAACAGAUUUUCGCGUGUCAAAAAUUCCGAUUUUCAACUGCACGAACAAUAUGCAACUUCAAGUACAAUCGAAAGCGCCAAGGUAACGGCAUCGGUGGAUACGAAGGAACUUGCGAUGGAUGAUAUCGCUCCGUGAUGGUGGAUUCCGCUAUGGUUACGGCAGUGAUGGUGAACUUGCACGUAGGACAGCGAGAAUCGAUUGAGCCACGUUUAAAACGGAAACGUUCGAUUUUGACACCAAAUAAGUUAAGCUCAACCGCGGAAGAAACAAAAUCCGUGUCCGUGAAACUCAGGAUCACUACCGGCUGUCGGUGAUAAUGUACAAGCAGCGCAACGGGAACCAUCAGAACAAUAAGAGAUAUGACUUGACAUCGAGAUCGACGAGCGAGAAAUUGACGGAAGAUUACUAAGAUUGUUGAAAAUAUUAAAUAUUUUACAAAUUUUGUAUUUGAAUCUAUUUGAAUAAAAUUUUGCCUAUUUUAUUUAUUUUUUUUUUUCAAUGAAAUAAAAACAGCAGCCUAAACAAAUUCCCGAUAAAUCCAGGUUAAACUAGCUUUAAUUUUUGCAACUUAUACUGGAAUUUGUUUUUAUCAAAUUUAUACUAGGCCAGUAUAGCCUGCAUAUAAACCAAGCUUGGGGUCAACCAGGCGAAAUGAAUUUAGUGUAAGAUUUAUACUAUUUAGUUUAGAUUUUUUCCUGAGUGUGCUCUCUCAGCGGGAGCCAAACAUCGGGAGCCAAGCAUUGAUUGAUGCACCAAGCGAAAAGAAGAAGAAGUUUUGACAUCCAAGCGGUGUGCCGUCGAUCAGAUCCUCGUCGCUGAUUGGUCGAUGGAUGUAAACGGCACACCGCUUGGAUGUCAAAAUUCUUCUUCUUACCGCUUGAUGCAUCAAUCAAUUGAAGAUGAAGGUUAUGUUAAACCUUGUUGAGCCUGUGUGAUUGAUUGAAGGGUAUUGUUAUCUAGGUGCUGCAAAUAUAAUCAAAACUGUUGUCACGAUAUCUCCAUUUGCCGCUGUCAAGUCGUUGAAAAGCGAGGAGAAGGAUAAACAUUGUUUUGAGCCUAUUGAGUUGUCCAAAAAAUGUCUCACGAAACCUAAUGCAAGCCUAUCCAUAUAGGGGGUUGUGGGGCAAGAUGGCCACCCUGUCUUUUAAGCAUUAAUUCGCAACACAAAAAUAUUUUCUGCAUGGGUUGUGAUUAUAAACAAUGCUUUAUGUUUAUAAUGUGCGAAAAAGUUACUAUUAGUUUGAAAAAUCUGCUAUAAAAUAGUGUUUGAAGUUUGAGUGUUCAAAAACAGUGUUUUCUUAUAGUAUCAGGUCAUCUGAUUUUAAG